GAGUCGCUAAAAGCCAAGGCUGAGACUCCCUCCCCCUCCCAUCCCCCUCUCUCGGAGAGCCUCAGGCAGCCUCGAGAGUCCGAGAUCUCGCAGAUCUCGCAGCCGAGGUUCGCAAACUUUUUAUGGACGGGUUUCGACAAGGCGCGAGCGAGGCAGUUCCGAAGACAGUCACGCGAGGACGCUAAGAUUUCUAGGGAGGAAAAAUCUCGAGAUUUCUCUCUUUUUCUCUCUCUCUCUCUCUCUCUCGAGAAGAAGAAGAAGAAGAAGAAAUUAAAGAUCAGAGCGAGUGACAGACAAAUUAUUGAAAGUAGCACGUAUUUUCUAACAUAUGUAUCAUCGAAACGACUCCGGAUUACUUUGUACGAUCUUGACUGACGUAGAUCCUUGGCGCGAGACUUGGUGACACUAUGCAACGAAAGGGACAAUUCAUUUAAAGGACUACUAAUAUAUUAUCCCGGUGAACAAAACGUUAGAGAAAUGACGAAAAAGAUUAUAUCGCGGAAUAAUGACCGUGAUAUUUUAAUAAAUGAGAGUAUUCGGUUAAUUUAUUUCGCAUAAAAUAUACAAGAGACGUCGAGAAAGUUUCGAGACUGAAUGGAUUAUCAUAAAAUAAAGUUUGGAAGAAAUUUGUAGCUUGCCACUUUCAAAGCUUUUCAAAUGUAGUUUUUUGACUAAUGGAUACUUGUAUUGAUACGAUUAUAUCCGUUAUUUAAAAUGUUUCAAAUUCUUGUUUUUGAAAAAGAAAUUUAAUCGAAUUUUGAAGGAUGACGAGGAUGAAAGGAUUGACUGAAUUAAACAACUUAUUGUUUUUGCCCAAAGCAAGUAGUUUUAACAAAUGUAUUGAACGCAACUCUACAAAACAACGUUCUGGAUUAUUGGACUAGAUGUCUUAUCAUAACAUUGAGCUCAAUAGGAAUCACUUCGAGGGAGACAAGCCAGACACACAUCUUUUUCGAUAUUUCUUUAUAAUUCUUCUUUAUUUUGUUUAUAAUUCACUCAGCUCUCUGCAACGUUUUGGACACAUCUUGUAUAUUAUCAAACUUGAAUUCUUUUGUCCGAUAUUGCACUUACGAAAAAAAUUACAUAUCGCGUUGUAAUCGCCACGCGAUUGUUUCGCCUCUAUAAUGUUAUUUUCAACACAUCUGUUGUUGUAAAUUAUGCACAAAAUGAACAGAAGAAAUUUUGAGUAGAAAAUCUCUAUGACACGGUUAGACAAAUAUAUCAUCUUUCUUUUUUGCUCAAUUAAGGCACCGGUGUACCUAACUUAGCUCGAAGAAAUCGAGUUGCCCUCUACAUUCGCGCGACAGAGUCCGUGUGCACAGUCUUGUAAAAUAUCUCAAAAAUAAUUUAAAACCGACAGUAAUCUCGCUAGAAUCUGAUUUAUGCAUUUCUGUGUUGUAUGUGUUACUUGCAUAUCUUCCUAGUUCUCAAGAGUAUAAUGCUUGCAUUCAUUUUUUUA